GGGAAUGUAGCUUAGUGGUAGAGUGCUUGCCUGGCAUGCAAGAAGACCUGGGUUGAUUCCUCAGUACCA
rnacentral:tRNA from 1 species